AGGCAGGGGCGGGAGACCGAGAGUCCGGCCGGAUGCCACACCCCGCCUUCCACGGCGGACAGGACGAAGAGUGGCCCUGUUGGCCAUGAACGUCCGUUCCUUGUCCGUCCUGGGAGAGCGGGACAUCACCACAUGGAUCCAUGGACAGAGCGGACAAUUUCCCUCGGCCCUUGGGCAGCAUUUCCGAGAGGCAGAACAGCUCAUCUUAAAAAAGUCUUAUCGUAGACUUUGCCUUGAUACGAGGACAAGGAUCCCAUCUGAUCCAACCUGAAUUCAACCUUCUCUUUUAA